UACGAAGGGGGCUAGCGUUGCUCGGAAUCACUGGGCGUAAAGGGUGCGUAGGCGGGUCUUUAAGUCCGGGGUGAAAUCCUGGAGCUCAACUCCAGAACUGCCUUUGAUACUGAGGAUCUUGAGUUCGGGAGAGGUGAGUGGAACUGCGAGUGUAGAGGUGAAAUUCGUAGAUAUUCGCAAGAACACCAGUGGCGAAGGCGGCUCACUGGCCCGAUACUGACGCUGAGGUGCGAAAGCGUGGGGAGCAAACAGG
rnacentral:rRNA from 1 species